GGAUCCCCAGGCAGCACACUAGAACAAAACAUUGGAUAUUUGCAUUUAGCAGUAGAGAAUCAUUGCCACAGUGACCCUUGCCGUGAGAAAAAUGCUCUUUGUCAAGUUGGGUUCACCGAAAAACGCUACAGAUGCGUUUGCUAAGAGGGGUAUCAGGGCACUCAUUGCAACGAAGAUGUAGAUGAAUGCACUCAUAAUUUGCACAACUGCGCACCGAACAUGACAUGUGUCAAUGAGUAUGGCUCGUUCUUCUGCAGAGAAUGCCAGGACGCCCUCGGUAUGGAGAAUGGAGGAGUAUUAGAUG